AACUUUAACAUUUCAGAGAGCAUUUCUAUUCAGUAAAAAAUUUGAAGAAUGCAGCAAGUUUUGGGUUGAAUUUAAAGAUUUCUAUGAUGCAAUCGGAAGAGAUGAAAGACCCAACAUAUGGGAACUCCUCCAAGAGAAGGAGGAGAGAAGAAUUAGGCGAUAUCGAGAGGAGCAGGAUAGAGAGAAAUGAAAUUAUAAUUUGGUAC